UCGGGAAUUUUGGGCAAUGGGCGAAAGCCUGACCCAGCAACGCCGCGUGAAGGAUGAAGUAUUUCGGUAUGUAAACUUCGAAAGAAUAGGAAGAAUUAAUGACGGUACUAUUUAUAAGGUCCGGCUAACUACGUGCCAGCAGCCGCGGUAAUACGUAGGGACCAAGCGUUGUUCGGAUUUACUGGGCGUAAAGGGCGCGUAGGCGGCAUGACAAGUCACUUGUGAAAUCUCCGGGCUUAACUCGGAACGGCCAAGUGAUACUGUCAAGCUAGAGUGCAGAAAGGGCAAUCGGAAUUCUUGGUGUAGCGGUGAAAUGCGUAGAUAUCAAGAGGAACACCUGAGGCGAAGGCGGGGUGCUAGGCUGACACUGACGCUGACAGCGCGAAAGCCAGGGGAGCAAACGG
rnacentral:rRNA from 1 species